UACAGAGGUCUCAAGCGUUGUUCGGAUUCAUUGGGCGUAAAGGGUGCGUAGGUGGCGUGGUAAGUCGGGUGUGAAAUUUCGGAGCUUAACUCCGAAACUGCAUUCGAUACUGCCGUGCUUGAGGACUGGAGAGGAGACUGGAAUUUACGGUGUAGCAGUGAAAUGCGUAGAGAUGCGGAGGAACACCCGAUGGCGAAGGCAGCCCCCCUGGGCUAACACUGACGCUCAGGCACGAAAGCGUGGGGAGCAAACAGG
rnacentral:rRNA from 1 species